ACAUCUCCCACAUCUCCCACAAAACCCAACACCCCAAACACACCGCGACGGCACAUAACCCGUCUUCCCCGCUCCCGCCACCUGACCCUUGCCCUGCUUUCUUCCCCCCUCCCCCGCCAGGGCGCAGCUCUCUAUCCCUGGAUCUAUACCUUAAACACCCUCCCGCCCUUCUCCCACCUCCCGCCUUCCUCCCUCCCUGGACUUCCCACCUUCCCGCACACGUACCCUACAAGCCGGCCAGCCUACAUCCCCCCUACUCCAUUCGCGUUACUUUUCUUUUCUCUCCUCACCCUCAUGUAUAUAGUGAUAUAUGUAAUGCUAUAUGCCAUUAUAUAUCAUGAUAUAUCAUGAUAUAUAACAUGAUAUGUG
rnacentral:lncRNA from 1 species